rnacentral:rRNA from 1 species
AAAUUGAAGAGUUUGAUCAUGGCUCAGAUUGAACGCUGGCGGCAGGCCUAACACAUGCAAGUCGAGCGGUAGCACAGAGAGCUUGCUCUCGGGUGACGAGCGGCGGACGGGUGAGUAAUGUCUGGGAAACUGCCUGAUGGAGGGGGAUAACUACUGGAAACGGUAGCUAAUACCGCAUAACGUCGCAAGACCAAAGUGGGGGACCUUCGGGCCUCAUGCCAUCAGAUGUGCCCAGAUGGGAUUAGCUAGUAGGUGGGGUAAUGGCUCACCUAGGCGACGAUCCCUAGCUGGUCUGAGAGGAUGACCAGCCACACUGGAACUGAGACACGGUCCAGACUCCUACGGGAGGCAGCAGUGGGGAAUAUUGCACAAUGGGCGCAAGCCUGAUGCAGCCAUGCCGCGUGUGUGAAGAAGGCCUUCGGGUUGUAAAGCACUUUCAGCGGGGAGGAAGGCGUUAAGGUUAAUAACCUUGGCGAUUGACGUUACCCGCAGAAGAAGCACCGGCUAACUCCGUGCCAGCAGCCGCGGUAAUACGGAGGUGCAAGCGUUAAUCGGAAUUACUGGGCGUAAAGCGCACGCAGGCGGUCUGUCAAGUCGGAUGUGAAAUCCCCGGGCUCAACCUGGGAACUGCAUUCGAAACUGGCAGGCUAGAGUCUUGUAGAGGGGGGUAGAAUUCCAGGUGUAGCGGUGAAAUGCGUAGAGAUCUGGAGGAAUACCGGUGGCGAAGGCGGCCCCCUGGACAAAGACUGACGCUCAGGUGCGAAAGCGUGGGGAGCAAACAGGAUUAGAUACCCUGGUAGUCCACGCCGUAAACGAUGUCGAUUUGGAGGUUGUGCCCUUGAGGCGUGGCUUCCGGAGCUAACGCGUUAAAUCGACCGCCUGGGGAGUACGGCCGCAAGGUUAAAACUCAAAUGAAUUGACGGGGGCCCGCACAAGCGGUGGAGCAUGUGGUUUAAUUCGAUGCAACGCGAAGAACCUUACCUGGUCUUGACAUCCACAGAACUUUCCAGAGAUGGAUUGGUGCCUUCGGGAACUGUGAGACAGGUGCUGCAUGGCUGUCGUCAGCUCGUGUUGUGAAAUGUUGGGUUAAGUCCCGCAACGAGCGCAACCCUUAUCCUUUGUUGCCAGCGGUUAGGCCGGGAACUCAAAGGAGACUGCCAGUGAUAAACUGGAGGAAGGUGGGGAUGACGUCAAGUCAUCAUGGCCCUUACGACCAGGGCUACACACGUGCUACAAUGGCAUAUACAAAGAGAAGCGACCUCGCGAGAGCAAGCGGACCUCAUAAAGUAUGUCGUAGUCCGGAUUGGAGUCUGCAACUCGACUCCAUGAAGUCGGAAUCGCUAGUAAUCGUAGAUCAGAAUGCUACGGUGAAUACGUUCCCGGGCCUUGUACACACCGCCCGUCACACCAUGGGAGUGGGUUGCAAAAGAAGUAGGUAGCUUAACCUUCGGGAGGGCGCUUACCACUUUGUGAUUCAUGACUGGGGUGAAGUCGUAACAAGGUAACCGUAGGGGAACCUGCGGUUGGAUCACCUCCUUACCUUAAAGAA